AUGUGCCAUCUUGUAAAUAGAAUUCACAAUGCUAUCAAGUUUGUUAGAGCCUUCGCAACUAGAUCAGAUGUAUUUAAGAAGUGUGUCCAACUCAACAAGGUGGCGAGUAAAGGUUUGAUUAAUGUUGAUGUGGCUACUAGAUGGAACUAUACAUUUGUAAUGCUAGAUAAUGUUGAGAAAUUUGAGAGGGCAUUUGAGCAAUAUGCACUUCAUGAUGCCAACUACAAGACCGAGUUAGAAAAAACUGGUCGAGAACCUAAGCCCGGCACUCUUGACCAGCGGGGUCCUCCAACUCAAAGUGAUUGGGUAUAUAUUCGUGAGUUCAAAAAUUCCUCCAACACUUCUGGCACCAAGUAUGUUACAGCCAACACCUUCUUGGAAGAGAUUGUUGAUGUUAACUUUAUGUUGGGUGAAUGGGGUGAUCAUGUGAUAUGUGGUGAUGAUGAAAUAUUUAAAUGCAUGGCUAUCAAGAUGAAAGCGAAGUAUGAGAAGUAUUGGGGUGAUCCUAAAAAGAUGAACACGUAUAUAUCCAUUGCUUCCAUCCUUGAUUCUAGAUUCGUUCAUCGGUAUCUUCAUACCUAG
rnacentral:rRNA from 1 species